UAUCCCAGAUAUGCCUAGACUAUCUGAGAUGCUUUUUAGCCCCUUGAACACUCGUUGCGAAAUGAAUAAUCGAGUAUGUUGAAAUGUGGGUAUCGUUCGUAUUAGGCUCGUUGCGCACCCCUUCAAUCAAAAAACGUACGAACUAGAAUAUAUAAUUGGCUUUAUUUCGAACAGAAUGUUUGAAACCUGUUAGAAAUUGCUUUUCUAUUUAUUUUAAUGAUGACGGUGAUGGUGAUGAUGACAAUUGUGAAUUUAGAGAAGGACCAUGGCAGGUGUGUUAGAACAAUCGAACGGUUCGAGCCGAAAAUGAGCAGGGUCAAAAAAUGACCUGUUUUUCUUCGUGGGUAGCAAAAAGAAGACUCUAAAGGCUUCUUUUUGCUACCCACCUCGUCUACCUGAAUCCUAACGUGGAAUAUUCGACACUAGCGGAAAUACACCGUCACUACCGUGGGCAACGUUUGCCUUUAUAAGAAAAUGCAAAUGGCUGCUAUUCGUUGAUUGACUGGACGUCACAUAGAACUGAACCUCAACGUUUUCGGCGACGGGGCCUACCCGGACUUGCGGCUUUUCGUCCUCUCAUCGUUCCUUCGAAGAUCCUCGGCAGCGCACCGAAGAGACCUCGGCGGGGUUUUUCGAGACACUGCGCUCUUGGCGUACUAUAAGGUCGAACAGAAGGUGAAGCGGUGCGGCUACGUGCCGUGAAGGCUGCACGUGCACGUUUAUCGAAUAUCGAUCUAUAGUUUGCCACAGGUCCGACUGACUACACAACGCUGUAUGACAUUCAUGUACAUCAAGUUAUUAUGGCGAUUUUAGGGCCAAAUAGUCCGACCCGUGUCCCGCGCACCAGCGUAUUGUCAGCAACGGAUUGGCCCAUUCGAGUUAUGUGAUCGGAGCAGAUUGUAUAAAGGACCUGAACCCUGAAAACGCUGGUUUGUAUGCUCUAGUUUCUGCUAGGAGAAUGCAAGGCCUAAGGCCAUGCAAAUCUGUCAGAUCAUCCGGAAUACCUCUACGUACUUACGUCGAACGUCGUAAUGGUACUCUCUUCCCGCUAUACGUCCAUAAGAACAAUCAUCGAUAAACAAACUAAAUCAUUUAAAUAUAUAGGACCUAAAU